UACGUAGGGUGCAAGCGUUAUCCGGAAUUAUUGGGCGUAAAGAGCUCGUAGGCGGUUUGUCGCGUCUGCUGUGAAAACUGGAGGCUCAACCUCCAGCCUGCAGUGGGUACGGGCAGACUAGAGUGCGGUAGGGGAGAUUGGAAUUCCUGGUGUAGCGGUGGAAUGCGCAGAUAUCAGGAGGAACACCGAUGGCGAAGGCAGAUCUCUGGGCCGUAACUGACGCUGAGGAGCGAAAGCGUGGGUAGCAAACAGG
rnacentral:rRNA from 1 species